rnacentral:tRNA from 1 species
GGGCGGAUCGCCCACGCGGCCAGCCGGGGCGUGUCGAGCGUCUCCAGGCCGAAGGCGCGCGGCCGGGUGCCCGGCUCCGCCGCCGGGUCCGGCCC